UUGCUAUGAUGAGCUUCCACUUCAGGUCCGUGUUUUUGAAACCCUGUGAUAGUAACGAAGUACUGAGUUU
ensembl:snoRNA SNORD18 Small nucleolar RNA SNORD18